CGUACGGGUGCGUAACACGUAUGUAACCUACCCUUUACAGGAGUAUAGCUCGGGGAAACUCGGAUUAAUCCUCCAUAAGAUGACGCCUCGGCAUCGGGAAGUCAUAAAAACUUAGGUGGUAAAGGAUGGACAUGCGCAUGAUUAGCUAGUUGGAGGUGUAACGGACCCCCAAGGCGAUGAUCAUUAGGGGACCUGAGAGGGUGAUCCCCCACCACUGGCACUGAGAUACGGGCCAG
rnacentral:rRNA from 1 species